ensembl:lncRNA MIR3681HG MIR3681 host gene
ACUCUUAUUUCAUCCGGCCUGGGGAGGAGGGGAAAGAGGAAGUCACCUGUGAAAUUGUCUUUGCGCUUUGGACUCAAGCCCCCAGGAGCCUUCAUCUACCACAUAAGAAUUGCAGCAAACCCUGCAGCUAUCCUGAAGCUGCCAUGCUGAAAAGGCCAAUUGGGAGACCACAUAGAGACCGAGAGAGACUUCCAAGGACUCCAGCCAAUCCUGGGCCCCAGCAGUUUGAAUCUCCCAGCAAUGCCACCAUACAGGAGAGGGAGCAAAUACUCAGAAGAUUCAAGUGCCAGCUGCAUGGGUUGAUACCUACAUAAAAGGCAUUGGCAUUAUUCACAAGAGCCAAGAUAUGGAAAUAACCUGUGUCCAUUGACAGACGAAUAGAUGAGGGAAACGUGGCAUAUACACACAGUGGAAUAUUAUUCGGAAUUAAAAAAAGAAGGAAAUCCUGAAUCCUGCUAUUUCUGACAACAUGAGACUGCAGGACGUUAUGAAAAUGGCCACAUCAUGCUCUUCUAGAACUUUCUCAUCCCUCAGUCAAGAGGUGGAGCCUAUUUACCCUUGACCUUGAAAUUGAUCAGGACUUUGUCACUGCCUUGCUCUUAACAUCACCAUGCUGGAGAAAUAGCAUGGCAAGGCCAGCUGGUGAUAGAGAAAGAUGCCUAAGGAGCUCCAGCUGCUAUUUUCCCUGGAUUUUUGAGUCUUCCCAGUCCAGCCAGACAUAUGACUGGGCAAAACCCUCAGGUAACUACAGCCUUAUCCACUGUCUGACUAUCACAAAAUGAGAGACCUUGGGUGAGGACCACCUACCUGAGCCCAGUCAUCCUGCAGAGAUGCGAGAAAAAUAAGAAUGUCAUUAUUGUUAUUUUAAAAUCACUGAGUUUGGGUUAAUUUGUAUGCAGCAAUAGAUAACUGGGACACAAAGAUAGACUGUAAAAAAAUAAAGAGGGAAUGGUUAAGCUAAAAA